CCCUUAGAUGUUCUGGGCCGCACGCGCGCUACACUGAUGCAUUCAACGAGUCUAAAACCUGCUCUGAUAGGGGUGGGUAAUCUUUUGAAUGUGCAUCGUGAUUGGGAUAGAUGAUUGCAAUUUUUCAUCUUCAACGAGGAAUGCCUAGUAAACGCAAGUCAUCAGCUUGCAUUGAUUACGUCCCUGCCCUUUGUACACACCGCCCGUCGCUCCUACCGAUUGAAUGAUCCGAUGAAUAUCAUGGAUUGAGGAUGCAAGUAGGUUCGCCUAUCUUCAUCUUCGAGAAGUGAAGUAAAUCUUAUCAUUUAGAGGAAGGAGAAGUCGUAGCA
rnacentral:rRNA from 1 species